CCGACCCCCCUCGCACCCUCAUCCUCACUCACAGCAAGGCGGGGGUUUCCCUUCAGUUCUCCCCUUGGGUCUCGGGGUCUCCUAGAAACACGUGUCACUCCUCACAUACUAGCCCACCCGAAGGGAGCGUCCGUCUGUCCCAUUAUCUACUUUCUAAAGGAAACACCUUCAGUUCCUUCCAUUAUUUCCCGCGACAUCUAUCAUGAUGCAACUGCUGUCGGCCUCCAGGUCUCAUCUUGGAAAGCCUCCCGGGAUGGAAAGGAUGAAGUCUUCAAACGCCUUCCAUGCUGCUGGCUGUCCCCAGCAGCCACAUCUGCAGAUCUUUACUGAGUGACUAACACACUCCUGACAUAAACGCAGGAGCAAGGGAGGAGCCUAGAACCACUGCAGCAGGAAGAGUCCUGGAGAUGACAGUGUACACGGGGUGGGCAUCCUGCAGAAGGUUAACAAGCGUGCGCGAGACCGCUGCAGUGCCCGGCAGCCCACCCACCACUACACGGGAGAGAACUGAAAUUAAACAAAAGUGCUUCUGGGAAGACGAUGACAAAUAUUCUUCUUGUCUCUGGUCUUCCAUUACUCAAGCCAAUUAAAAAGUAAAUCAAAAGUACCUAAAAGAAGCAAACAGCAAUUUUCCAAAAUUUAUAAUAAAACACUAUAUC